rnacentral:rRNA from 1 species
UACGAGGGGUGCAAGCGUUGCUCGGAAUACUGGGCGUAAAGCGUGCGCAGGCGGUUCUGAAAGUCAGCUGUGAAAGCCCCGGGCUUAACCUGGGAAUUGCGGUUGAAACUACAGGGCUAGAAUCUGGCAGAGGGGGGUAGAAUUCCACGUGUAGCAGUGAAAUGCGUAGAGGAUGUGGAGGAAUACCGAUGGCGAAGGCAGCCCCCCCUGGGCCAAUACUGACGCUCAUGCACGAAAGCGUGGGGAGCAAACAGG